AUUGAACGCUGGCGGUAUGCUUAACACAUGCAAGUCGAACGCGAAAGUCACUUCGGUGGCGAGUAGAGUGGCGGACGGGUGAGUAACGCGUGGGAAUCUGCCUUAUAGUGGGGGACAACCCGGGGAAACUCGGGCUAAUACCGCAUAAUCUCUACGGAGCAAAGUGGGGGAUCUUCGGGACCUCACGCUAUAAGAUGAGCCCGCGUUGGAUUAGUUUGUUGGUGGGGUAAUGGCCUACCAAGGCGACGAUCCAUAGCUGGUCUGAGAGGACGAUCAGCCACACUGGGACUGAGACACGGCCCAG
rnacentral:rRNA from 1 species